CCUGUACGAUCACCGAAGUUAAGCAACGUUAAGCCUGAUCAGUACCUAGAUGGGUGACCAUUUGGAAAUACCAGGUGCUGUAAG
rnacentral:rRNA from 1 species